UCCCUUGUGGCUCAGAUGGUAAAGCAUCUGCCUACAAUGCAGGAGACCUGGGUUCAAUCCCUGGGUUGGGAA
rnacentral:tRNA from 1 species